UUUUGCGAUGUGUUCCUAAUAUGCAUUUAGAAAUAUAUUGGGAACAUUUUGCAUGCAU
rnacentral:pre_miRNA from 2 species